rnacentral:lncRNA from 10 species
GGCUGGUCUCGAACUCCUGGCCUCAAGUGAUCCACCUGCCUUGGCCUCCCAAAGUGUUGGGAUUACAGGCGUGAGCCACUGCGCCCAGCCCUUUGCCUACUCUUUAAUGGGGUUGUUUAGUUUUCUUCUUACAAAUUUGUUUAAGUUCCUUGUAGAUGCUGGAUAUUAGACCUUUGUCAGAUGCAUAGUUUGCAAAAAUUUUCUCCCAUUCUGUAGGUUGUUUGUUCACCCUGUUGAUAGUUUCCUUUUCUGUGCAGGAGCUCUUUAAUUAGACCCCAUUUAUCAAUUUUUGCUUUUGUAGUAAUUGCUUUUGGUGUCUCUGUCAUGAAAUUUUUUUUUUUUUUGAGACAGAGUCUCCCUCUGUUGCCCAGGCUGGAGUGCAGUGGCACGAUCUUGGCUCACUGCAAGCUCCGGCUCCUGAGUUCACUCCAUUCUCCUGCCUCAGCCUCCCGAGUAGCUGGGACUACAGGCGCAUGCCACCACGCCUGGCUAAUUUUUUGUAUGUUUAGUAGAGACAAGGUUUCACCGUGCUAGCCGGGAUGGUCUCGAUCUCCUGACCUCGUGAUCCGCCCGCCUCAGCCUCCCAAAGUGCUGGGACUACAGGCGUGAGCCACCGCGCCCGGCCUAUCAUGAAAUUUUUGCCCAUUUUUAUGUCCAGAAUGGUAUUGCCUAGCUUGUCUUCCAGGGUUUUUGUAGUUUCGGGUUUUACAUUUAAGUCUUUAAUCUGUCUUAGGUUAAUUUUUGUAUAUAGAGUAAGGAAGGGAUCCAUUUUCAAUCUUCUGCAUACUAGCCAGUUAUCCCAGCACUGUUUAUUAUUAUUAAUUUAUUUAUUUUUAGACAGAGUCUCGCUCUGUUGCCCAGGCUGGAGUACAGUGGCACGAUCUUGGCUCACUGCAACCUCUGCCUCCUGGAUUCAAGUGAUUCUCCUGACUCAGCCUACUGAGUAGCUGGGACUACAGGCCCCGCCACCAUGUCUGGCUAAUUUUUGUAUUUUCAGUAGAGACAGGGUUUCACCAUGUUGGUCAGGCUGGUCUCGAACUCCUGACCUCAAGUGAUCCACCCACGUUGGCUUACCAAAGUGUUGGGAUUACAGGCAUGAGCCACCGCGCCUGGCCUCGUGCACCAUUUAUUGAAUGGGGAAUUCCUCAUUGCCUAUUUUUGUCUGGCUUAUCAAAGAUCAGAUACUUGUAGGUGUGUGGCCUUUAUUUCUGAGUUCUCCAUUCUGUUCUAUUGGUCUAUGUGUCUUUUUUUGUACCAGUACCAUGCUGUAUUGGUUACUGUAGCCCUGUGGUAUAGUUUGAUGUUGGAUAGCAUGAUGCCUCCAGCUUUGUUCUUUUUGCUUAGGAUUUCCUUGGCUCUUUUGGUUCCAUAUGAAUUUUAAAAUAAUUUUUUUUUCUAGUUUUAUGAAGAAUGUCAAUAGUAUUUUAAUAGGAAUGGCAUGGAAUCUAUACAUUUCUUAGAGCAGUGCGGCCCUUUUAAC